UCUCAGGCCGGAUCAGCCUGAAGGCGCCCGAUCUCGUCUGAUCUCGGAAGUCUAAGCAGGGUCGGGCCUGGUUAGUAUCUUGGAUGGGAGACCACCUGGGAAUCCCGGGUGCUACGAGGC
rnacentral:rRNA from 1 species